rnacentral:rRNA from 1 species
CAGUAGCCGCGGGAAUACGAAGGGUGCAAGCGUUACUCGGAAUUACUGGGCGUAAAGCGUGCGUAGGUGGUGGUUUAAGUCCGUUGUGAAAGCCCUGGGCUCAACCUGGGAAUUGCAGUGGAUACUGGGUCACUAGAGUGUGGUAGAGGAUAGUGGAAUUUCCGGUGUAGCAGUGAAAUGCGUAGAGAUCGGAAGGAACAUCUGUGGCGAAGGCGACUAUCUGGGCCAACACUGACACUGGGGCACGAAAGCGUGGGGAGCAAACAGGAUUAGAUACCCCCGUAGUCCCUGUCUCUUAUAC